ACAGGGGGUGCCAUGAGAGGACAGAGGGGAAACUAACCCUGUUGGAAGAGGAGCCUAAGAAGGAAAGGUGUCACAGCAGCUAUUGUCAGAACUGAAUUUCCAAGGACCUGCCAGAGGUAGCCAGAAGGAGGAGAGGGUGUGCAGAAGCGAGAGGCAUGAAGCAGUAUUGUCCAUCUUCAAGAGUGCAGGUUGUUCACUAAUAACAACACCCGUCCUGGAGGCAGAAAAACCAUCUUGUGCCCAUGAGGGAGAACACCAAACAAAUCUGGAUGACUUCCUUGAGUAGCUGCAUUUAUAUUGGACUGUCUACCUCCUGACUUCUUGUCUUGUGAUGCUACAUGAAUUGCUGUCCACACCUUCUGCUACUUUCCUCUGUUGGCCAGAAGAAUAAUUUUAAUGUCGCCCAAAUGGAUUAUGCUGACCUCAACCCAGAUCCCCCUGGGAGAUAUAAACUUCUUAUAUGUUCCUGGCUGGGUCAUUGUAAAUAAUAUCUACAUGUAUCCCAAAGCUCUGAAUUAUCCUCAUCUGUAACAGACACAACGACUAAAUGGUAUCUGGAACGUAGUUAAUUUUCUGGAAAAUAUUCAAAGGAACAAAAUGAGCACUGCAAUACAAAAUUGCUGUCGACUUAACUUUUGCCAGUUUCCCUGGAUGUGUAAGUAGAAUUAUAUUUUCACAGAACU
rnacentral:lncRNA from 10 species